GGGCCCGUCGUCUAGCCUGGACUAGGAUGCGGGGUUCGGGACCUCGAGCCGCUGAAGAGGCGGAACUCCCCGUGACCCGGGGUUCAAAUCCCCGCGGGCCCACUA
rnacentral:tRNA from 1 species